rnacentral:rRNA from 1 species
CGGACGGGUGAGUAAUGUCUGGGAAACUGCCUGAUGGAGGGGGAUAACUACUGGAAACGGUAGCUAAUACCGCAUAACGUCGCAAGACCAAAGAGGGGGACCUUCGGGCCUCGUGCCAUCGGAUGUGCCCAGAUGGGAUUAGCUAGUAGGUGGGGUAACGGCUCACCUAGGCGACGAUCCCUAGCUGGUCUGAGAGGAUGACCAGCCACACUGGAACUGAGACACGGUCCAG